AAGGUAGCAUAAUCAUUUGCCCUUUAAUUGUGGGCUGGUAUGAAUGGAUUCACGAAAAAGAAGCUGUAUCCUCCCCGUCCGUAAAAAUUAGCUCCCAGGUGAAGAUACCUGGAUAAAAAUAGAGGACAAGAAGACCCUAUUGAGCUUUACUUUGGCUUGGUUGAGAGCAGCCAGUAGAAGUUUGGUUGGGGCGACAGAGGAAUUUACGAAACUUCCUUUAAAUAGCUUAGCUUUCACGCUAGAAAUGAUCCUGUAGAAGAUUAAAGGAUAAAGCUACCAUAGGGAUAACAGGCUAAUUCUCCUUAAGAGUCCAAAUUGACAGGAGGGUUUGGCACCUCGAUGUUGGCUUAGGGUAUCCUGUGGGUGCAGCAGCUUACAAGGGUGGGUUUGUUCAACCUUUAAAACCCUACGUGAUCUGA
rnacentral:rRNA from 1 species